rnacentral:rRNA from 1 species
GACGAACGCUGGCGGCGUGCUUAACACAUGCAAGUCGAACGGAAAGGCCCUGCUUUUGUGGGGUGCUCGAGUGGCGAACGGGUGAGUAACACGUGAGUAACCUGCCCUUGACUUUGGGAUAACUUCAGGAAACUGGGGCUAAUACCGGAUAGGAGCUCCUGCUGCAUGGUGGGGGUUGGAAAGUUUCGGCGGUUGGGGAUGGACUCGCGGCUUAUCAGCUUGUUGGUGGGGUAGUGGCUUACCAAGGCUUUGACGGGUAGCCGGCCUGAGAGGGUGACCGGCCACACUGGGACUGAGAUACGGCCCAGACUCCUACGGGAGGCAGCAGUGGGGAAUAUUGCACUAUGGGCGGAGGCCUGAUGCAGCAACGCCGCGUGCGGGAUGACGGCCUUCGGGUUGUAUUCCGCUUUCGCCUGUGACGAAGCGUGAGUGACGGUAAUGGGUAAAGAAGCACCGGCUAACUACGUG